rnacentral:rRNA from 1 species
GACGAACGCUGGCGGCGUGCUUAACACAUGCAAGUCGAACGGAAAGGCCCUGCUUUUGCGGGGUGCUCGAGUGGCGAACGGGUGAGUAACACGUGAGUAACCUGCCCUUGACUUUGGGAUAACUUCAGGAAACUGGGGCUAAUACCGGAUAGGAGCUCCUGCUGCAUGGUGGGGGUUGGAAAGUUUCGGCGGUUGGGGAUGGACUCGCGGCUUAUCAGCUUGUUGGUGGGGUAGUGGCUUACCAAGGCUUUGACGGGUAGCCGGCCUGAGAGGGUGACCGGCAACAUUGGGACUGAGAGACGGCCCAGACUCCUACGGGAGGCAGCAGUGGGGAAUAUUGCACAAUGGGCGGAAGCCUGAUGCAGCAACGCCGCGUGCGGGAUGACGGCCUUCGGGUUGUAAACCGCUUUCGCCUGUGACGAAGCGUGAGUGACGGUAAUGGGUAAAGAAGCACCGGCUAACUACGUG